GAUGAACGCUAGCUACAGGCUUAACACAUGCAAGUCGAGGGGUAACAAGAGAAAAGCUUGCUUUUCUUGUUGACGACCGGCGCACGGGUGAGUAACGCGUAUCCAACCUGCCCAUAACUAGGGAAUAACCUUGCGAAAGUAAGACUAAUACCCUAUAAUUUCCUUUGACGGCAUCUGACGAGGAAUAAAGAUUUAUCGGUUAUGGAUGGGGAUGCGUCUGAUUAGCUUGUUGGCGGGGUAACGGCCCACCAAGGCAACGAUCAGUAGGGGUUCUGAGAGGAAGGUCCCACACAUUGGAACUGAGACACGGUCCAAACUCCUACGGGAGGCAGCAGUGAGGAAUAUUGGUCAAUGGGCGGAAGCCUGAACCAGCCAAGUAGCGUGCAGGAUGACGGCCCUAUGGGUUGUAAACUGCUUUUAUACAGGAAUAAAGUUAGCCACGUGUGGUUAUUUGUAGGUACUGUAUGAAUAAGGACCGGCUAAUUCCGUGCCAGCCGCCGCCGUAA
rnacentral:rRNA from 1 species